rnacentral:rRNA from 1 species
ACGGCUCAGUAACACGUAGUCAACCUAACCUAUGGACGGGAAUAACCUCGGGAAACUGAGAAUAAUGCCCGAUAGAACACUAUACCUGGAAUGGUUUGUGUUCCAAAUGAUUUAUCGCCAUAGGAUGGGACUGCGGCCUAUCAGUUUGUUGGUGAGGUAAUGGCCCACCAAGACUAUUACAGGUACGGGCUCUGAGAGGAGUAGCCCGGAGAUGGGUACUGAGACACGGACCCAGGCCCUGUGGGGCGCAGCAGGCGAGAAAACUUUGCAAUGUGCGAAAGCACGACAAGGUUAAUCCGAGUGAUUUCUGCUAAAGAGAUCUUUUGUUAGUCCUAGAAACACUAACGAAUAAGGGGUGGGCAAGUUCUGGUGUCAGCCGCCGCGGUAAAACCAGCACCUCAAGUGGUCAGGAUGAUUAUUGGGCCUAAAGCAUCCGUAGCCGGCUCUGUAAGUUUUCGGUUAAAUCUGUACGCUCAACGUACAGGCUGCCGGGAAUACUGCAGAACUAGGGAGUGGGAGAGGUAGACGGUACUCGGUAGGAAGUGGUAAAAUGCUUUGAUCUAUCGAUGACCACCUGUGGCGAAGGCGGUCUACCAGAACACGUCCGACGGUGAGGGAUGAAAGCUGGGGGAGCAAACCGGAUUAGAUACCCGGGUAGUCCCAGCUGUAAACUAUGCAAACUCAGUGAUGCAUUGGCUUGUGGCCAAUGCAGUGCUGCAGGGAAGCCGUUAAGUUUGCCGCCUGGGAAGUACGUACGCAAGUAUGAAACUUAAAGGAAUUGGCGGGGGAGCAC